CAGAUAAUCGGGAUCUUCUGGGUUUGGAGGUUUACAACAUAAAAGAGUGAAUAAGAGGAAAAGAAGGAUGAUAGUCACGUCUUCACAGAGGAAGAAGCGUGACUGUGGGAACCAGUCUAAACCAAAGCCUGGUUUAAGCAUCUCCAUCCCUUUGAGGCUGUCCAGUGACAUAUUCGAGAGGCCAGUUACUAGAAUCCUAUCCCAUCCUGGCAAUGACAAAUCUCUGGGAGGACACCUUGGACCAGCCCCACCAGGUCUGCUGGCCCGAGAGACUGCAAGGACUCCAGGCCUGCAGCAGUGCAAGACAACUGAUCACGUGACGUGCUUCUCAGGACAGGAGGAGCCGCCUCAAGGGAAGACAGAUCUUCUCCAGGAGCUGAAGUUCAUCCAAGGAGAGCAGAGUCUAGGGCUGCAGAGCGCCACUGCUCUCCAUCUCAGGGACACGUCGGUC